GGGGAUGACAGGCUUCGACGAGGAAGGCUGGUCAUGGACGGCAAGCCGGGGCGCUCAGUCCCCGUUAACAACAGAGCGGAACGUUUAAAGUGCCAACACUUUGAACUUUGUUCCUCAGAGCGAGCUGGCCGCCAUUCCGAUGGCUGCCUAGCAAGAGCUGAGGGCAAACUGGUCGCCUAAGAACGGCCACGCCCCCUCCGGUUUCUCGCCGGCGAGCCGGAGAUCGGGCGUCAUAAUGCCGGCGUGCGGCACGCUAAUGCCGAUAGGCUCGCCUAAGCGGGAGUCUCGGCUCCCAUCGGCUUUGGCCGGGUGUAGCGCGGUCGGCGGCGACUCCCCGGUCGAGAGGCAAUAGCCGACUAAGCUUGUAGAGAUCCUUGGCUGAAUUCUUCGGACGCGGGUUCGAUUCCCGCCAUCUCCACCA
rnacentral:tmRNA from 1 species